GUAUUAGCUAUAAGGCCUUGCAUAAUCUUGCUCCUACGCGGUGUUGUGACAUAAUUUCAUCUACCACCGUCUAGCUGCCACAGGAGACUUCCUGACGCUCAUAUACAAGCCCUUUCCUACCUCAGGACCCUUGCACGUACCGUCCCUCUGCUUGGAAUGCUAGUCCUGCAGACCACGUAUCAGUGGCCGGGGCCUCCUUGAAUUUCUGUACACUCAUAAUUUCUCCAGAUGCCUUCUCCCAGCCCCUUCUUUUUCAUUAUCUGCUCUCGCUUUUCAGAGCAUCGCCACAACCUGAUUUAUCUUUACCUUUUAAAUUGUUUAUUGCCCAUUUGCCCUAAAAACAUAAGCUCCUUGUCAAACAUGUUUGUGUAUCCCCAGGAUCCUGGCACAAUAUCUUGCGUACAGCAGGUGCUAAAUAAAUAAUCUCUGACUUUGUUUUUGACUCUGUGAGUUUACACAUAGGUGACCCACAUUGGGUUGCGAUCACCUUUGAUUUAUAGGCAGCUGAAUCUUGCUUAUUUCCGGUUGCCAAGGGCUGCCUUCUUUGGCGUGACAGCACCAAAGCAUUUGUCGUCUUGUGCAGCAUGAGUGGGAAGCUGAAAUGUCAGGUGACACCAGAGAAAGGAUCGGUCCUGGCAGCUCCUUGGACAUAGACACAUAUUAAACAUUCAGGGCGUCAGUAGAGGGCUGGCUCGUAGAGAAUUCCAUCCUUAACACAUGACAAGUUGGGGUUUGCAGUCAAAGUCCACUUAGCAAAUGUUUAUUCUACCACGCACUUUUCUUUUGUUUCCUGUAAGUAUAGCUUCCCCCCCUUCCAGGAUUUGAGGUCAGAGAAACACGAGGAGGCUAUUAACAUAUCAAUGGAGGGAUCGCUUCGGAAUCUAGAAUUGGGAAUAAUAUUUGCAUCUCGAGCUCAGAAGCCGCCCAGGCAAGCCUACUCAUUGAUGGCCUUUAAUUUCCCCCUUAAAACAGUGCCUGUUUCCGAAUAAAGAUUAAUACAGGAGGGCUCCGUUUGUCGCGUGAUUUAUACUCAAAUGCUGCCUCCUUUCCUUUCAGGAGCACGAUGCCUAUGCGACCCCACCCCUGAGCCGUUUGCAUUCAGUUCCUCCAGAAAGAUAGCUGCUGGUCGCCAAAGCCUGCCGCUUAAUUGAAUUUGUCUUUGUCCCCUUGAUCUUCACGCUGACAAAAAUGUGGGGUGGGUGGGAUGUGUCCAGAAAAACCAGACCUGAAAAACACAGCCGAUCGCUAGGAGACGGAGCUGAGGAAAGAGAUACAAAGUGCACUGCACAGAAUGAAACUCAGGGAUGCCAUUUGGAAGUUUGGGUGGUGUUUAUGCAUCAGUCUACAAAAUGAGAUUCUGAAAAUCUUUCUCCAUAAAGUGAAUUGUCUUUACCCCUGAUGCUUCUGAGACCUCUUAUUCGGUUAAAGCAACCCACCAGUUUGCCUGAAAGCUGUUUACACCGGGAAAUGUUAAGGGUGACCUAGCUUCAAGCAAUUACACGCUGUAAACCAAUUCUAAUUGCCAGCCAUUCAUUUUUCUUUCUUUUUUCCUUUCUUUUUUUUUUUUCAAUGUUUAUUUAUUUUUGAGAGAGACAGAGGGAGAGCAUGAGCAGGGG